rnacentral:lncRNA from 1 species
AGUCUAGGUAGUUGACGGAUAUGAUAUGGGAAGGUUUUGAGCUGCUAUCAAUCUUGCUCAUAGAGAUGUACUCUCUUGAGUUUUAGACACAACUGUUUAGACUUAAGAUUUGCUCUAAGCUUGAAACUCGUGGGUAGCAAAUGCUUGAUGUAAGUCUAGGUAGUUGACGGAUAUGAUAUGGGAAGGUUUUGAGCUGCUAUCAAUCUUGCUCCUAGAGAUGCUAAAAUUCUAGAGAAUUUUAUUUUGAAAAUCUUAAAUUGCUACAUGAUGAGUUCCUUUAUGACAAGAGUUUUAAAAUCCCAACCACAACCAAUUACUAAUGCUUACUAGGUUAGGAAAACCUCCACUUAUAUUUCAACCUACAAGCAUUGAGAGUAGUUAAGCUGUGUAGACCCUAUGGAUCUAGUCAUGCAGUUAAAGUCAAUAUUAUAUGCUCUCCAUCUAUUCAUCUUAGCUACUUUUGUCCUCAGAAGUAUGCAACCACAUUCAUUCACCACAUUCACUACGUGCUACUUCUGUUCCUAGAAGUACCACACACAUAUACACACUACACUCUCUCUUGUUUCUAUCGUGAAGACACGCACCUAUGCUGCUCCUACCCUAGGAGUACGCAUUCCUUCAUUCACCCACACACAUUCCACAUCCACUUAGAAAAUGUUAUACUCCUACAUUGGGAGAAGACACCCAAAAAUAUUCAAUGUCUUAUUCUACUUAUCCAAUAAAGCCCUAGUUAUCCCAGUUGAUACUCCCUACUAUUAUAAUUGAAUUAAAAGGGAUGGCUGAUCUCUAAAAAAACAGAGAAAAAUGAAAAAAAAAGAAAGAGGACAAAAGUCCCAAUGCAAAAGAAAAGAAAGACACAAAGACAACCAAAUCCUUGUUCUCAGGUUAGGGAGGUAUGUUAUCCCCAAGGAGCAAAUGUAGAAUUAGAUAUUCACCAUCAGUUAUCACCCCUCAUAAUCCCUUUCAUUCUUAUCACUUCAUUCACUACACUCACAUGGACAUAUGACUUGAUUGUAUAAUUAGUUUCUCUAGAUCCAUGGUUUAACUAUGCAAUACAUGCAAGUAGGUUUGAAUUAUCUUUCCCACCUAUGAGCUCCACAUAAGUUAAUUAGAAGUAGGGUGAGAGACAGAAGGCAACUAUGUCUUAGUGAUACAAAUACCACAUAUUCUGAGAGCAGAGAGAAGGCAUACUCACUUGCCUUAGAGAGGAUCCAGAAAUGCCACAUAUGAGAGACUGGAAAGUGUCACAUAAGGAAACUCUAAGUUUUAUUUGAAAAUCUUGGAAAACUCUAGAAUAAUAGUUGAUCAAAGAGCGGGUAGUAUAGUGCUCGACUUAACUGUUCUGUCUUUCAACUGCCCAAGACCAAAGUGAUAGAUAUAAGCCCCAUGGUGAAAGGUAAAAUGGGUGAGUCUUGAGUCACAAUAGUUCACUCUAAUCUAUAGGGGAAUCCUUGUUUGAAUACUUAUGUACUUG